GUUGAACGCUGGCGGCGUGCCUAAUACAUGCAAGUCGAGCGAACGGACGAGAAGCUUGCUUCUCUGAUGUUAGCGGCGGACGGGUGAGUAACACGUGGAUAACCUACCUAUAAGACUGGGAUAACUUCGGGAAACCGUAGCUAAUACCGGAUAAUAUUUUGAACCGCAUGGUUCAAAAGUGAAAGACGGUCUUGCUGUCACUUAUAGAUGGAUCCGCGCUGCAUUAGCUAGUUGGUAAGGUAACGGCUUACCAAGGCAACGAUGCAUAGCCGACCUGAGAGGGUGAUCGGCCACACUGGAACUGAGACACGGUCCAGACUCCUACGGGAGGCAGCAGUAGGGAAUCUUCCGCAAUGGGCGAAAGCCUGACGGAGCAACGCCGCGUGAGUGAUGAAGGUCUUCGGAUCGUAAAACUCUGUUAUUAGGGAAGAACAUAUGUGUAAGUAACUGUGCACAUCUUGACGGUACCUAAUCAGAAAGCCACGGCUAACUACGUG
rnacentral:rRNA from 1 species